rnacentral:rRNA from 1 species
CAGUCGCCGCGGUAAUACGUAGGUGGCGAGCGUUGUCCGGAAUUAUUGGGCGUAAAGGGAGCGCAGGCGGACAUAUAAGUCCAUCUUAAAAGUGCGGGGCUCAACCCCGUGAGGGGAUGGAAACUGUAUGCCUUGAGUGCAGGAGAGGAAAGCGGAAUUCCCAGUGUAGCGGUGAAAUGCGUAGAUAUUGGGAGGAACACCAGUGGCGAAGGCGGCUUUCUGGACUGUAACUGACGCUGAGGCUCGAAAGCCAGGGGAGCGAACGGGAUUAGAUACCCGCGUAGUCCCUGUCUCUUAUACA